ensembl:snRNA U6 U6 spliceosomal RNA
UGUUCAUGUUGGCAGCACAUAUUACUAAAAUUGAAAUGAUAUAAACAAGAUUAGCAUGGCCUCUGUGCAAGGAUGACAUACAAAUUCGUGAAACACUCCACAAAUUA